rnacentral:rRNA from 1 species
GAUGAACGCUGGCGGCGUGCCUAAUACAUGCAAGUCGAACGAAACUUCUUUAUCACCGAGUGCUUGCACUCACCGAUAAAGAGUUGAGUGGCGAACGGGUGAGUAACACGUGGGCAACCUGCCCAAAAGAGGGGGAUAACACUUGGAAACAGGUGCUAAUACCGCAUAACCAUAGUUACCGCAUGGUAACUAUGUAGAAGGUGGCUAUACUACCGCUUUUGGAUGGGCCCGCGGCGCAUUAGCUAGUUGGUAGGGUAAAGGCUUACCAAGGCAAUGAUGCGUAGCCGAAUUGAGAGGUUGAUCGGCCACAUUGGGACUGAGACACGGCCCAAACUCCUACGGGAGGCAGCAGUAGGGAAUCUUCCACAAUGGGCGAAAGCCUGAUGGAGCAACGCCGCGUGGGUGAAGAAGGUCUUCGGAUCGUAAAACCCUGUUGUUAGAGAAGAAAGUGCGUGAGAGUAACUGUUCACGUUUCGACGGUAUCUAACCAGAAAGCCACUGCUAACUACGUG